rnacentral:rRNA from 1 species
GAUGAACGCUAGCGAUAGGCUUAACACAUGCAAGUCGAGGGGCAGCACAAGGUAGCUUGCUAUCUGGGUGGCGACCGGCGCACGGGUGCGUAACGCGUAUGCAACUUGCCCUAUACAGGAGGAUAACCCGUCGAAAGACGGACUAAUACUGCGUAUGCUCACAACUUGGCAUCAAGUGGUGAGGAAAGAAAUUCGGUAUAGGAUAGGCAUGCGUCCCAUUAGCUUGUUGGUGAGGUAACGGCUCACCAAGGCAACGAUGGGUAGGGGAACUGAGAGGUUUAUCCCCCACACUGGUACUGAGACACAGACCAGACUCCUACGGGAGGCAGCAGUGAGGAAUAUUGGUCAAUGGGCGCGAGCCUGAACCAGCCAAGUCGCGUGAAGGAUGACUGUCUUAUGGAUUGUAAACUUCUUUUAUACGGGAAUAACAAGAGUCACGUGUGACUCCCUGCAUGUACCGUAUGAAUAAGCAUCGGCUAACUCCGUG